UUUCUUAAAAUUCACAUGGUUCCUUUCCCGCCAAAUCAUCCAUCAACAUGCAGCAGUUUGUAAAGUUUAAGUUAUACCAAGUAGUUUUGUAAAAAGGGUGUUAAAUAUAAAAAUAUUUAAACACCGUUCUCUAACAGUUUAAGCUUUUAGAGUACAACGGUUAUUUCACAUGAUAUCAGAGCAGAAAGUCCUGAGUUCGAGUUACGCCAGGCUCCUAGCAUAUUAAUUUCCUCCCAUUUAAUUUAAGCCCACGUCAUGGGCCGACUAAAAAAAAUCGCUUAAGUUUUUAGAGUACAACGGUUGUUUCGCAAAGGUGUUUUUACAAAAUCAAUAAAGUUUAAGCUAUAGAAAAUAAAGUUUUAUAUUUUUAUAUUCAACAGCGCAUGCAAUUUUUAGUUUGGUAAAAACUCUCCGAAAAGUGAAACCAAACAAUAAUACUUUUUUUUUUUUUGAGAGAGAUAGGUAGCACGCUACCCGCUUCGUUUAUUUCAUUUAGAAAUAAACUUAGCUGAAAAUGUGAAUCAACUAUGAUUCGAACUUGAGUCUCGGGUAUCAACCGUCAAAUUCUUUGCCACUUGUUCUAGAAACGGUGGAUAACCAAACAACAAUACUAAGUAGUUUUGUAGGGGUGUU
rnacentral:lncRNA from 1 species